AACAAAAGAAGCUAGCCAGAGGUGCUGAGAGUGAGGAUUCUAACAAAAUACGGAAAUCACAUGGCUCAACUCCAUGUCAAUCUCCAGUCCAUACAAUACUACAAAGAAGUGAGACAUGCUGUCUGGAACAUGAUGUGCUCUACUAGCUUCAUUUGGCUCCUGAACUGAUUCUGUGUCCUCUGGUUGGAGUCUUAUUUUGGAAAUGGAGAGACUAAUAUAAUCUGCCCUGCUAACUGGGAUGGCCAGUCAUGAUCACUUGCAAUGAUUUAAAGGUACUGUACAGGAGCCAGACUGCGAAGCAAUUUGAGAGCUGAGGACGGCAUCAAAUUCAUCAGAGAAACCAGCAGACAGCUCCCUUAUCCAUGUGGCAUCCUCCCAUGUGCAAUUUGUGUCAGUCAAUCUCAGUAAACGUCCAAGAAAACCAAU